GUGCUCACUUAGGCAGCACAUAUACUAAAAUUGGAACUAUACAGAGAAGAUUAACAUGGUCCCUGCUCAAGGAUAACACCCAAAUUUGUGGUGUUCCAUAUUUUA